rnacentral:rRNA from 1 species
AUGCACGCUGGCGGCGUGCCUAAUACAUGCCAGUCGCGCGAACAGACGAGGAGCUUGCUCCUCUGACGUUAGCGGCGGACGGGUGAGUAACACGUGGAUAACCUACCUAUAAGACUGGGAUAACUUCGGGAAACCGGAGCUAAUACCGGAUAAUAUAUUGAACCGCAUGGUUCAAUAGUGAAAGACGGUUUUGCUGUCACUUAUAGAUGGAUCCGCGCCGCAUUAGCUAGUUGGUAAGGUAACGGCUUACCAAGGCAACGAUGCGUAGCCGACCUGAGAGGGUGAUCGGCCACACUGGAACUGAGACACGGUCCAGACUCCUACGGGAGGCAGCAGUAGGGAAUCUUCCGCAAAGGGCGAAAGCUUGACGGAGCAACGCCGCGUGAGUGAUGAAGGUCUUCGGAUCGUAAAACUCUGUUAUUAGGGAAGAACAAAUGUGUAAGUAACUAUGCACGUCUUGACGGUACCUAAUCAGAAAGCCACGGCUAACUACGUG